AGGCAUCUAUUUAAAUAUUACCUAGACGGUCGUAAUUUGUCUGGGCCCUAUAGCCCUGGUGCCGUAAGUUGAUAGAGAAAAACAACCCAGCGAAGGCGCCUUCUCUGAAAACAAUGCUGAGAAUGAGAGCGGCGGAGACAAGCCCCCCAUCGAUCCCAAUAACCCAGCAGCCAACUGGCUUCAUGCGCGCUCCACUCGGAAAAAGCGGUGCCCCUAUACAAAACACCAGACCCUGGAACUGGAGAAAGAGUUUCUGUUCAACAUGUACCUCACCAGGGACCGCAGGUACGAGGUGGCUCGACUGCUCAACCUCACCGAGAGGCAGGUCAAGAUCUGGUUCCAGAACCGCAGGAUGAAAAUGAAGAAAAUCAACAAAGACCGAGCAAAAGACGAGUGAUGCCAUUUGGGCUUAUUUAGAAAAAAGGGUAAGCUAGAGAGAAAAAGAAAGAACUGUCCGUCCCCCUUCCGCCUUCUCCCUUCUCUCACCCCCACCCUAGCCUCCACCAUCCCCGCACAAAGCGGCUCUAAACCUCAGGCCACAUCUUUUCCAAGGCAAACCCUGUUCAGGCUGGCUCGUAGGCCUGCCGCUUUGAUGGAGGAGGUAUUGUAAGCUUUCCAUUUUCUAUAAGAAAAAGGAAAAGUUGAGGGGGGGGCAUUAGUGCUGAUAGCUGUGUGUGUUAGCUUGUAUAUAUA
rnacentral:lncRNA from 1 species